AGAGUUUGAUCCUGGCUCAGGACGAACGCUGGCGGCGUGCUUAACACAUGCAAGUCGAACGGAAAGGCCCUUCGGGGUACUCGAGUGGCGAACGGGUGAGUAACACGUGGGUGAUCUGCCCUGCACUUCGGGAUAAGCCUGGGAAACUGGGUCUAAUACCGGAUAUACCUCAUGGGCUGCAUGGUUUGUGGGGGAAAGCUUUUGCGGUGUGGGAUGGGCCCGCGGCCUAUCAGCUUGUUGGUGAGGUUAUGGCUUACCAAGGCGACGACGGGUAGCCGGCCUGAGAGGGUGACCGGCCACACUGGGACUGAGAUACGGCCCAGACUCCUACGGGAGGCAGCAGUGGGGAAUAUUGCACAAUGGGCGCAAGCCUGAUGCAGCGACGCCGCGUGAGGGAUGACGGCCUUCGGGUUGUAAACCUCUUUCAGCAGGGACGAAGCGAAAGUGACGGUACCUGUAGAAGAAGGACCGGCCAACUACGUGCCAGCAGCCGCGGUAAUACGUAGGGUCCGAGCGUUGUCCGGAAUUACUGGGCGUAAAGAGCUCGUAGGUGGUUUGUCGCGUUGUUCGUGAAAACUCACAGCUCAACUGUGGGCGUGCGGGCGAUACGGGCAGACUUGAGUACUGCAGGGGAGACUGGAAUUCCUGGUGUAGCGGUGGAAUGCGCAGAUAUCAGGAGGAACACCGGUGGCGAAGGCGGGUCUCUGGGCAGUAACUGACGCUGAGGAGCGAAAGCGUGGGGAGCGAACAGGAUUAGAUACCCUGGUAGUCCACGCCGUAAACGGUGGGUACUAGGGGGUGGGUUUCCUUCCUUGGGAUCCGUGCCGUAGCUAACGCAUUAAGUACCCCGCCUGGGGAGUACGGCCGCAAGGCUAAAACUCAAAGAAAUUGACGGGGGNCCGCACAAGCGGCGGAGCAUGGUGGAUUAAUUCGAUGCAACGCGAGACCUUACCUGGGUUUGACAUGCACAGGACGUGCCUAGAAGAUAGGUAUUCCCUUNNNNNGGNGNGCAGUUGNUGCAUGNCUGUCGUCAGCUNNNG
rnacentral:rRNA from 1 species